rnacentral:rRNA from 1 species
ACUCUUAUCGAUAAGCCAUUGGAGGGCAAGUCUGGUGCCAGCAGCCGCGGUAAUUCCAGCUCCAAUAGCGUAUAUUAACGUUGUUGCAGUUAAAAAGCUCGUAGUUGAAGUGAGGGAGUGUGUAGUAGGACCGACUUGAUCGGAACUGCUGCAACCUCCCCCCUCCAAUCGGUGUAGUGGGGUAUUCACUUAUUUCACUACUCCUUUGGUCGUUUACUGUGAGAAAAUUAGAGUGUUCAAAGCGGGCGUUUGUUUGAAUAGAUUAGCAUGGAAUAAUGAUUGAAGGCUUUCGUGUUCGAUUUGAUUGGUUUGUUCAUGGAAGCAAGGUUAAAAGGAACAGUUGGGGGUAUUCAUAUUCACUAGUUAGAGGUGAAAUUCUCGGAUUUAUGGAAGAUGAACAAGUG